AAAGUUUGACUAAAAAUAUAUGAAAAUAUACUAAUAUCUAAAAUAUAAAUUGUACUAUUAGAAUCACCUUGAAAUGUACUCUAAUAUUAUAUAAUAAAUAUGUAAUCGUGGAUGUUGAUAUUUUUUGUUACAUCUUUGGUCAAACUUUAAAUUUCUUGACUUUGACUAAAGCCAAAACGAAGGGUAAAUAAAAACGGAGGGAGUACAUUUUUCAUCAUUCUCUACUUAUUUGAUGAAUACUUAUCAUUGUUUUGUAUUGAAUGACAGGUCAUGUGGUAUUAAACUAUUAAUGAUGAUUAAUAUUGGAUUUUACCAAAUGACUACUACAGAAAAAAUGGGCUUGCUUCUUGUGCGGGCAGGAAAAGUUCUUGUUCUUUCAUGAAAUGUGCGAUGGUGUUCAAUGUGUGCGAUGUUGUGUAAAUGCAAGCUUGAUAUAGAAUCUCUACGCGAUAUGCAUGUGGGCAUCUUUGAGCUGAACGAAACUUGAUGGUCGAAGUCUUGCCAUCAGUAUAUUCAUAAACACAAUUACAUCCAUAGGUUCAAUAUGUUCGAUGUGUUUGCUCAACUCCUUCUUUGGUUCAUUAUCUCUACAGCGAUAUUGAGCAUGGUAAUCUACUUGUCAGAUAAGAAUAGUCUUAUAGUUGUUAGAUUGCUCGAAAUUCUUAACCUUGAACAAAAAUGCGCCUAUGCACAUUGAUUGAGCAUACAUGCUUCCUCGAGGCCAGAAUCUUUUUUCCUCAACAUUAUUAUUGAAUCAAAUGUUGACCUACGAAUGUAAUUGUCCUUUCUAUGGUGUGUCAGUUGUUUUUUCAAUGAUAUACUCUUUGGAUUACAUAAUUGUUUACCUUACGACUUAUCUAUGAAUCCUUGAUACCAACUGUAAU